CCCUUAGAUGUUCUGGGCCGCACGCGCGCUACACUGACGAAUGCAACGAGCUUAUAACCUUGGCCGAAAGGUCUGGGUAAUCUCCAAAUUUCGUCGUGAUGGGGAUAGAUUAUUGCAAUUAUUAAUCUUCAACGAGGAAUGCCUAGUAAGCGCAAGUCAUCAGCUUGCGUUGAUUACGUCCCUGCCCUUUGUACACACCGCCCGUCGCUCCUACCGAUUGAAUGGUCCGGUGAAAAUUUCGGAUCCUGACAUUGCUGGCGGUUCGCCGCCGGCGACGUCGGGAAAAGAUCUUUAAACCUUAUCAUUUAGAGGAAGGAGAAGUCGUAACA
rnacentral:rRNA from 1 species